GGCCUUGCGCGAUUGGAUAUGCCCAGGUGGGAUUAGCUAGUUGGUGAGGUAAUGGCUCACCAAGGCGACGAUCCCUAGCUGGUCUGAGAGGAUGAUCAGCCACACUGGAACUGAGACACGGUCCAGACUCCUACGGGAGGCAGCAGUGGGGAAUAUUGCACAAUGGGGGAAACCCUGAUGCAGCCAUGCCGCGUGUGUGAAGAAGGCCUUCGGGUUGUAAAGCACUUUCAGCGAGGAGGAAAGGUCAGUAG
rnacentral:rRNA from 1 species